UUUCCCUCAGGAUAGCUGGCACUCGCUCGAUAGCGAGUCUCAUCUGGUAAAGCGAAUGAUUAGAGGCCUUGGGGCCGAAACGACCUCAACCUAUUCUCAAACUUUAAAUGGGUGAGAUCUCUGGCUUGCUUGAACGUUGAAGCCACGAGAUCGCGUUUGAUGUGUGCAAAACACACACGAGCGCCUCACGGAUCAGAGUGCCAAGUGGGCCAAUUUUGGUAAGCAGAACUGGCGCUGUGGGA
rnacentral:rRNA from 1 species